UACAGGGGGUGCAAACGUUGCUCGGAAUCAUUGGGCGUAAAGCGCACGUAGGCGGUUCGUUAUGUCGGAUGUGAAAGCCCUUGGCUUAACCGAGGAAGUGCGUCCGAAACUGGCGAGCUAGAGUACUAAAGAGGAUCGCGGAAUUCCCGGUGUAGAGGUGAAAUUCGUAGAUAUCGGGAGGAACACCGGUGGCGAAGGCGGCGAUCUGGGUAGAUACUGACGCUGAGGUGCGAAAGCGUGGGGAGCAAACAGG
rnacentral:rRNA from 1 species